CAGCCGCCGCGGUAACACCGAGGGUGCAAGCGUUAAUCGGAAUUACUGGGCGUAAAGCGCGCGUAGGUGGUUUGUUAAGUUGGAUGUGAAAGCCCCGGGCUCAACCUGGGAACUGCAUCCAAAACUGGCAAGCUAGAGUACGGUAGAGGGUGGUGGAAUUUCCUGUGUAGCGGUGAAAUGCGUAGAUAUAGGAAGGAACACCAGUGGCGAAGGCGACCACCUGGACUGAUACUGACUCUGAGGUGCGAAAGCGUGGGGAGCAAACAGGAUUAGAUACCCCUGUAGUCCCUGUCUCUUAUAC
rnacentral:rRNA from 1 species